CACACAAACCCCGAGCCAAGUGAACGAAGCCCGGCACUGCUCUUCUCAAGGGCAGCAUGAUGUGGAGGGGUGGGGGUGGUGGGCAGGUGCACUUUUGUCAGAGCGGCGGUUCUCAGCUGGGGGAAUGAAGUGGAUCUGGACCACAGGGCCAGGUCCCACCCCCGACCGAAUGAAGUGAAAAUCCCCACCAAGGCACCCAGGCAACUGCAGUGGGACACGCACACACUCCUCAGGCAACGCCGUGGCCUUCUGUACAGAGAUAGGCUGCUCGACCUACUUGUAAUUAAACGUGAGCUAAAACAACUCAAAGUCAUAUUGGCAAAAAUACAAAAUGGGUGAUGUGCUUUCUGUUGGGCAGAGAAUAAACUGGCAUAGCCUCAUCGGAGGGCAGUUUGUCGCUAUCUAUCAAACUUUAAAACCACACACCCGGUGGCUCAGCAUCUCAUUUCAAGGGCAUAUACUUGUACAUGUGCACAAAAUAUACACACAAGGACAAUUACUUCAAGUAUUGGUUAUGAUGGGAAAAGACAGGGAACACUUUAACUGCAUACCAGCUGGAGACUGGUUAAAUGAUAUUAUCCUAACAAUGGGAUACUAGGGGAAGAUGUUUAUGAACUGACACACUAAGAAAAAGAAAGCAACUUGCAGGACAGUGGGCACAGAAUUACCUUAUUUAUAUUUUUAAAAUCUACACCUAUAUAUUGAGCGCACCUAUUCUGGAAGGAAAUAUAAGAAAAUCGUUACCAGUGGUUCCCUCUAGGGAAGAGUACUGGAUAACUGGACAUUUAAGUAGGGAGACUUUUUACUAUACUUUUUUUUUUUUUUUUUACCAUAUACAUAUAUGACUUAUGAUGGCUGUGAAACAAGGCUGAUUGACGCUCACACAGGAAUGGAGCAUAACUGACAGGAUGGCCCCAGCUGCCAUCCCUCUGGAUCCACCAUCCAGUGGAUGUCACCCUUUCCCCAGUCAAUGACUGAGUGAAAUGUGGGCCUCCACUAACAGGCAACUUUACCUCGAGGUUCAGCCUGAACCUGCCAUGGAACUGCCCUACCGUCCACGACUCCCUGCCCAAACCUCCUUCCCUGGAGAGCUGAGCUCCUACUGGAGUCUGAAGGCUCUCCCUGACUUCUGCAGAUUCCCCUCCUUUUAUGCUUCACAGGUGCUGCCUCCAGUUCAUUCCUUGCAUGUCUAAUCUCAUCCUAGUGUCUGUUUCUUGGAAGAGCAGAACACAUUUAUUGAAUAAAAAAACAAAACCAAAAACAGCUGCUUUAGAUAUUCCAGGAGUAAGGCAGUAGCAGCUGUCCAGUCCCAAAGCCCAAGCUCCUGUCCACAGACUACCACUGGUCCCUGACUCUGAGCUCAAAGAGAGCAGGGACCAUCUCAGGGGUCUCUGCAUGUAGCUGGUGACCAGGUCACUCCCCCAAAACCGUCGUCUUGCCCACUCCGUUCCUUGCAUUCUAACCUCCAGCCCCACCCAGCUGCUUUCAGUUCCUCCCAAAGCUGUGUUUUCUUAUCUUGUUCACAUCCUGUUUCCUCUAGCAAGCUUGUUCUUCACCUGACCAAUACUGAUUCAUCCGAAAGUCCCAGUUAGAUGCCACUUCAUGCAUUCAACAAACAUGGAGGACUUACUGUGUACCAGGUCCUCUUCCAGGCACUAAAGAUAUAUACAUCAGUGAACAACAACAACAAAAAAAUUAUGCCUGUGUUGAACUUAGAUUCGUGGGAGAGCCAGGCUAUAAGCAAGAAAAAAACUAUAGUCUACCAGAUGAAAGUGCUAGGGGGAGAAAUAAAGCAGGGUAGAGGGUUUGGAGGUACCUGGGAAUAGGGAUUGAAAUUUUAAAUAGGGUGGUCAGGGAUGAUUUGUUCACCCAAAUGACAUUUGAGGAGAGAUGAAGGAGAUGAGGGAGUAAGGCCAUGCAGAUAUCUGGGAGAACAAGGGCAAAGCCAGAGGCAAGAACACGCCCGCCAGUAUGGAGGCCAGUGUGUGGCUACAGCCAAAUGAACAAGGUGGAGAAUAUUAGCAGAUGCGUUGACAGAGAUACCGGGAGCCCCAUUGAUACAGGGCUUUGUAGGCCAGUAAGAACUCUUUUAUUGAGUUUGGUGGAAGCCAUCUGAGAAGAGUGACACGGUCUGAUUUCUAUUUUACAGGAUUGCUCGUCUGUCUUGCAAAUGGAUUGUAAGGGGUUAAGGACAGAAGUAGAGACUAUUCAGAAGGUGCUGCAGUAAGCCAGGACUCAUUCCCAGGACCCCAGGAUCAUGACCUGAGCCAAAGGUUGAGAAGCGGCUCGGAGGAGGAAAAGAAGUUGCCCAUGGUCACAUGAUGACUCCAAGAUUGAGCUGCAGUUUGAACUUCUGUCUUACUUUUCUGCACUGGAUACUCAGAAGUAACACACUCAGAACUACCCCUCAAAACAUCCAUUUCCAAAAAAAAAAAAAAAAAAACAUCCAUUUCCUUGUGGGCAAAAUGGGGGUAUGUGUCUCAUUGUCUAGGGGGUCCUUAGAAGGAUUCAGUAGAAUGGUGUGUGCAGAGUUCUGGUACAUUGGAUCAUGACAUGUCUGUUAACUCGUGAUGACCACCCCACUUGAGAGCAGAAAGGUAGCUGGAGGGAGGGCAGCUUGCCCUGCAUCUUGGUUUGGAGGACUCCUAGCAUCCCGUCCUCCUAGCUUCAUCCAGUCUCUGAAGAAAGAAAUCUGGCUGUUGGGUAUUUGCUAGAGGAGGCCAGAAAUGCCUGACCUGUCACUG